rnacentral:rRNA from 1 species
GCUGACACCGGGACAGCUGCCGAGGGAUUAGGGAGGGGUCAAGGGGUACACGGAAUUGGCGGGCGUAAGGCGUGCGCAGGCGGUUAUGUAAGACAGAGGUGAAAGCCCCGUGCUCAACCUGGGAACUGCCUUUGUGACUGCAUAGGUAGGGUACGGCAGAGGGGGGUGGAAUUCCGCGUGUAGCAGUGAAAUGCGUAGAUAUGCGGAGGAACACCGAUGGCGAAGGCAAUCCCCUGGGCCUAUACUGACGCUCAUGCACGAAAGCGUGGGGAGCAAACAGGAUUAGAUACCCCGGUAGUC